UACGGAGGAUGCAAGCGUUAUCCGGAAUGAUUGGGCGUAAAGCGUCCGUAGGUGGCUGUGUGUGUCUAUUGUUAAAGAGUUUGGCUCAACCAAAUAAGGGCGGUAGAAACUACACAGCUAGAGUGCGUUCGGGGCAGAGGGAAUUCCUGGUGUAGCGGUGAAAUGCGUAGAGAUCAGGAAGAACACCGGUGGCGAAAGCGCUCUGCUAGGCCGCAACUGACACUGAGGGACGAAAGCUAGGGGAGCGAAU
rnacentral:rRNA from 1 species